rnacentral:snRNA from 1 species
AUGCUGGCUUCGUCAGCACAUAUACUAAAAUUGGAAAGAUACAGAGAACAUUAGCAUGGCCCCUGCACAAGGAUGACACGCAAAUUCGUGAAGCGUUCCAUGUUUUU